CGUCGUUCGGACCGCCUU
rnacentral:snRNA from 1 species